ACUCUGGGCCCUGGUGGAAGAGUGGGCAACCCUGAUGGGCACUGCUGUCACCAAACCUCUGAAGAGUGGAGCUCUGCUCUGAGCCCAUGAAGCUCUGGCCCCACAUACCUGCCUGAUCUGCCUGAAGCCCUCGGGUGGCACACUGGCGAAGAUGUUGCACUCAGGUCUUGCCAGGAUCUGGAAGGCAAUGGCGCAGUGGUGGUUCUCCAGCGGUGAGAUGUCGUUGUAGCGCACAGCGAGUUCCGUGCGGGCAUUGAUCUGGUAUCUAGGGUUGAAGGCUUGCCUCUGGGACAUGGUCGGAACAUGAGGCAGAUAGACAAGCAGAGCAAGCUGCAGCUCAAUCAAUCAAUCAUCAAUGUUUAAAAGGCAGAGCAUGGAGGAAGGCCAACAGAUCCUAGGAGACGUGUGGCAGACUCCACUUGGCAUGUAUGUGAGAGACCACAGCCUGGCUCUAACGCACAAUCUUCCUGUCUUGGUUUGUAAGUGGCUGGGAUUAGAGGUGUGACCUGGUGUUCUGUUGUUCAUCGCAGGCCCCCUUCAGUCCUCCUACUAUCAGAUCCUGUAGAAGGAAGCCAUGUGCUCCAUACUGUGAUGUCUUCACAGACCAUUGGACUCAUGGCCUGACCCAAGUUUCAUCCAUUAGGGUCCUAUGGUGGUUUGAAUAUGCUUGGCUCAGGGAAUGGAACUAUUUGGAGGUGUGUCACUUUGGGCGUGAGCUUUAAGACCCUCCUCCUAACCAUGGGGGUAGGGUGAGGAUGGGGGUGGGCAAUGAAACCCUUGUCCUAGCUGCCUGGAAGCCACUCUUCUCCUGGCAGUCUUCAGAUGAAGAUGUAGAAUUCUCAGCUCCUCUUAUACCAUGCCUGCCUGGAUGCUGCCUUGCUCCCACCUGGAUGAUAAUGGACUGAACCUCUGAACCUGUAAGUCAGCCCCAAUUAAAUGUUGUCCUUUUAAGAGUUGCCUUGCCAGGCUGUGGUGGUGCAUGCCUUUAAUCCUAGGCAGAGGCAGGCGGAUUUCUGAGUUCGAGGCCAGCCUGGUCUACAGAGUGAGUUCCAGGACAGCCGAGGCUAUACAGAGAAGUCCUGUCUCGGAAAAAAAAAAAAAAAAAAA
rnacentral:lncRNA from 1 species